UCCGUCUCAGAAGUUCUCUGCUGUUCUUUGAUGACGAAAAUAACGAUGAAACUGAAAAUGGUGCCUUUCCUGUGCUCUAUUCCCUCUUAGUCCUAAUUGAGUGAAUGGACCAGAUGACCCAGAAAAAAAGGGAAAGAACGACUGGGACACUUACAAACGGAGAGUUAGCGAGCGACCAUAGCGUGCAGACGACGUGACUCCGCACGUAAAGGCGGACCGUGCGACUAACAGCUGGAUACUGCCUGCAUUAAUUUUAGGUAGAAUACAGUCGACGGUGGCCCGACCGAAGACCACAGGGAGGAGAAAAAGCUCAUUGCUCAGAGAAUACGACGGUUGAUACUGCAGCGUAGCUAAUGUUGUCUGUCGGUAACCAGCGUUGACGCAGGUGGCAACACCGAAAAAUUGUAGUAGGUGGUACACAAUUUGCCCAUUAGAUUCAUAGUGUUAUUCAAAGUGAAUGUGGAUCGUGUUAAAUCGUGGCUGAUGAUAUGCUCUUUCUGUACGUUUUGGAAACUAAAUUGAGUAAAUCAAGUGUAUUGACGCGUGCGGGCGUGUGUGUGGGCCGGUAUAUUUUAUAUGGCCCGAUAGGUGUCGUGUUAUGAAUUUACUACGUAGCUAACUGGACAUACUGGCCGUUCGGCAGUCCACAAAUGACUGCUGAUGAGUUGGAACUAAGAGUGAGAUUCACAGGCGGAUGUCAUCGCUGGAAAAGGUGAAAACACGCAACAUUGUACGGACCACGAUGGCUACGGAACAGCGGUCGUUUUCGUCCCUUCGUGAGGAGAUGGAAUACUACAAGGCAAGGCUUGAAGAGACGCAAACGGAGUUCGAGGAAUUUCAGCAGGGAUCGCGAGAGUUAGAGACAGAAAUGGAAGCUCAGCUGGGCUUGCUGGAAAAAGAAAAUGUCGAGUUAAAGCGAAACCUUCAUAAGGUCGAAAUUGAAAGGGACGUAUACGCCGAAAAGUUAGCCUUUGGUACCAACCAACUUAAAGACCAGCUGGAAACUUUGGAAAAGGAAUUACUGGAGGAACGCGACGUGAAUGAGCGGCUUAUUCAACAGAUUCGCGAGCUGGAACAGGACAACGACGAUCUGGAACGGGCCAAAAGAGUAUUGGCAGCCUCUCUUGAGGAGUUUGAAACACGAGUUAAUCACGCUAUUGAAAGAAACGCUUUCCUGGAAAGCGAACUUGACGAAAAGAACGAACUUCAGUGUCUCGUCCAACGCCUAAAGGAUGAGGUCAGUGAUCUGAAGCGUGAUGCGGUUGUACGGAAUCGUCAGGAGCGGAAUGGCUCUAUAGGGAGUAACGUGGCGGGUGGCACACCCGGUCUUCCCAACCUCGCCGGAAGCCCAAGUUUUCACAAUCAUCAGCAGCGAAAAAAGUCACUAGCGGCCUCCUCCCAACGUGGUUCUGCGGAGGAUGUUCUCGGCCCCGGGACAACAAAGGAGCACGCGGUCCUCUUUUCCGCGGCGGAGCACCAAGUCAGCUCCCUACCCCCAUACGGCGGGCACCCGCCUCCCCAGGGAUCUCAAAACCUGCAAGGUCACCAGCGAAGAUCGACCAUCAACCCGCACAGCAGGACAAACGCCCUCAACAUCGUCAACGACCUGCUCAAGAGGGUCGGGGAGCUGGAAACUAAGAUGGCGACAGCCCAGUUUUGCAUGUAAUUAAACAACUACCACCCGCUGAUAUAUUGUGGAGAUUUGCUUCUAGCACGUUUCAUAUUUGGUCGCUAUCAACUUCUGUCUUCGUCUCACUUUCGCACGAAUCUCUGCUUCCCUUUCGCCUAAGGAUGUAUUUUCGCUAACCUUCAAUAGAUGGAGCUCCUCGAUGGAAAAGCCCGCUCACAAUCCCGAUAACGUAACAACAGAGGCGCCCACGAAAGACGAUAACGAUAGAAAAAAAAACAUGAAUGGAUGCAGUGGCUGCAAAAUGGACGACGAGACGCUCUGAAAAAGUAGACAAUGGACUACAGUCACUUGAAGUCACAAAGAGUUAAGCAAUGACAACGACCGCGAAGGCUCAUGAGCUGGUGGUGUAGCUGCCCCAAAAGCAGGCCAGGGCGACGCAUGCACGACGUAAGCAGAUCGAGAAACAGUGGCUGCUAGAAAAAACAAAGCUGUAAUUAGCUCAAGGUACCCGUCGGCGCCAUUAUCGAAUCCUUGCAUUGACGGACAUGACGGGUGCCUGUGGAGUCAACUUGUACCUGGCGGCUGAGUCUGGUCCUACCUUUACAGCAACAUUAGCACUGCUAGCAUGAAUCGCUACUACAUCGAACAGAGCCAGUGGUGCAGUACAUCGCUUCUGGGCCACUGCUGAACGCUGGUAGUAAAGCGUCCCCAGCGAUUAGCAACGUAAUCGAAAGCAACGACGAAGGCAAAGAACGACGGCGACUAUGGUGAUGAUGAGGGCAUUCCUCUCUGGCCAGAAGUAGAGAUUAUUAGCUUUAUAUUACGGGACAGUAACAAACAAUUUAUAAGCGAGUGAUGUAUAUAGUGACAAAAACCACACGCGUUUUACUAGAUUUCCUCGAAUGAAAAGGAGUCUGCUUUCGAUGGGAAGAACGAAGCGCAAUUCAUCAUUGGUCCAGUAAAUCCUGCGGCGACUGCGUCAUGGGCGGUUUGGUGAUAAUUAAAUGAGAAAAACACCGUUUGAUUGUGCAACACUUGAGAAGACGUGCGAUUACUUUUCAAGCAGGCAGGUAGAUGAGGGUGAGUCCUUGCCGCACAGAUGAGGUAACACGUCACGAGGCAGCGGUGGCAGCUUCAACAGCAGCGCUAAUAUAGCUAACGUCGUUGACAAUAUGACGGUGAUUUGUCGACUCACCGCUACUUGGCAUCUCAGACUACCCCGGCUAAAACUAGGAGCCAGUACGGUGGAAUAACGGACGGUCGUUCCAUCAGUUGGGAAUACGACAGAACUGAUAGACAAAUAAACGGCCUUAGGACGCCAGUUUUACCAGGGAACUGAUCGUUUGUUUCACAGUUCUCCUAUCACUAGGACGAGUUUAUCGAGAAAGGAGAAAAGUUAGGAGAAAUCAAGAUAAAAAGGAAUUGAACUGCGCAACAACCCACGGGGAUUUUCGUCAGCAAUAGUAGCGUUUUACUUUCGUUUUUGGGCAUUUACUAUUUCUUUUGUGUAGUUUCGCUGCCACUGCUAUUGCCGCUCCUAGCAGGUACCAUCGCUUUUCAGUGGUCCUUCUAGGCCAUCAUUCGGCACUCACUCGCUGUCCUUUCGCUUCAGCCCGCCAAUUUCGUCCAAAAAUGUUAGUAGCGCUGAGUAGUAAGCAAAGUUGUUUUGUUCCUUGUUGUCCUGACUGACUUCUCUUUGUGUUGUUGCUGCUGCUGCUGCACAAAUGAAAAAUCUAUUUUAGUUUCUCAUUUAUACCUUCGGAAUCAACGCCUAGGUUUCUCGAUAGAUAGAUAACAGUUUGUGUUGCGUAGGCGAAGUUAUACCUCAAUCAGUAGGUCGUCGAAAUACCCCAUUCGGAUUCGGAGUCUGCGUGUAUCCGGAAAUCAAAAAGUAAUCUUUUUGCUGAGACUCGCAAUAUUGCUUUUUUGGUAAAAUGUGGAAUCUCUCGAGUUUGGAAACUCAUCCUCAUGCUGCAGAGCCAUCAUGGAGUGUGCUAUUUAUAAUUUACUUGUAAAAUAUUUUGUAGUCAUUUUCGGCAAUCGUUUGCAUCUAUCGCACUAGUAAUAGGUAUUAAAUUGAGCUCUGAAGUCCUUAUUCUGCUCUGAGUGUCACAGUAUUAGGACAGAGGGGGAGGGGUGUGUGUGUAUGUGUGUGUGUGUGUGCAUGUGUGUGUGUGUGUCUGUGUAUGUGUUCAAGUUGUUAGUUUUACGCCUUUUCUAAUAUAUGUGUAUGUAUAUAUAUAUAUAUAUAUAUAAUAUAGAUAUAUUAUAUAUGUGUAUAUAUAAUAUAGAUAUAUUAUCGAAUAGAAUAAUAAUGAUCCUUGUAUUAGCUCUGGCCCAUGUUUUACGGCAGAAGUACGUUCAAACUCGAGUCAAAUCGAACAUAAUUAGCAAUUAUCCAUACGUAUAACAUAAUAUGUCGCCUGUCUUUGUGUGGUAAAGAUCUUUUAUACUUCCAGCUCAAGGCACAGCUUCAGCGUACUACAUAUAGUGCUUUUAUUAAGUCAAUUCCACGUCUAUGGCUUUUACUCCAUUUGUUUCAUUGUUUUACAUAGUAGUAAAUAACACUCUAACUUUCUACCCUAUUUAGCACUAUCUUUCUUGUACUGUUUUCUAACCCCGUCUACGGUACAGGUCUCUCUGCGCCCCUGUAAAUAGCACAUUUAAGGGAGCGAUUGCCUUGUGACCCCACUUAGGUGGGGUAGUAGUCUACGGUGAGCCGAUCCACGCUUCCAUCUACGUGAUGAAUAAAUUGACUGAUGUGGGCUGUGUCGUACUUUGCCGACGUAUGUAAAACGCAGUUUGACUUUUUUUUAACUUCGGUUUGCAGUAGUCUUAUUUUAAUGUAUCUAGCAUUUGUCUCUGGCGACAAUAUCGGCCACAUAUGGCUCAGUGAAUGAAU